rnacentral:rRNA from 1 species
AAUGAACGUUGGCGGCGUGGAUUAGGCAUGCAAGUCGCGCGAGAAAUUUUCUUCGGAGAAUGGAAAGCGGCGGAAGGGAGAGGAUAAAGUAGAAAUCUACCCUCGGGACGGGGAUAGCUGCGGGAAACUGCUGGUAAUACCCGAUAAUGUCUUCGGACCAAAGGUGUGAUUCCGUCUGGGGAUGAGCCCACGUCCUAUUAGCUAGUUGGUAGGGUAAUGGCCUACCAAGGCAAUGAUGGGUAGCGAGUGUGAGAGCAUGACCCGCCUCACUGGGAAUGAGAACUGCCCAGACACCUACGGGUGGCUGCAGUCGAGAAUCUUCGGCAAUGAGCGCAAGCUUGACCGAGCGACGCCGCGUGCGGGAUGAAGGCCUUCGGGUUGUAAACCGCUGUCGUAGGGGAGCAAGAGAUGAAGGUACUCCUUCAAAUUUGAGCGAUCCUAGGAGGAAGGACGGGCUAAGUUCGUGCCAGCCGCCGCGGUAA